ensembl:lncRNA
UGGAAGAUUAUAAUAUCAUAUGUUGUCAUAAUUAAAUGAUAAAUCUUGCAAAUAAUUUUAAGUGGUCUUUAGAAAUGGUGGGUUCAUUUUCUCAUGUAGGGCAGAAUACCCAGCUCUGAACAAGCUGAGAAAUAUGUCUCCUAGCAAUGCCUGUAAUCUUUGGGGGUGUUUGGCUCUGAAUCUGAACUUUACAGCUGGCCUCCAUCUGUGCUUUACCUUGAAGCAGAAUCUGAUAUCUGAAUGCCCUCAGACUAUGAAGCCCAGACUUGGAUGCAGUUCCCUGAAAGAAAUGCUGCUUGCAGAUAUCUGUUGAUAAAUUCCUUAGAGAGAAAAGUUCCUCUGCAGCUCAGAAUGGAAUGAUGAGGUGUCAGCAACGAAGCACCUGUGACAGAGGGGUUAGUCCCCACUACACUAUCAUGGUAGAGAAAAGCAGCCUGUUCCAGCAGAGAAAAGGUUACUCACUACUGAUCCACCACCGUCACCACUGUCAUCAUCCUCCUUGUCCUCAGGAUGCAGAGGAAGACAGGAGUGGAGAACAGGCCAGGACCAACGGCCUGAAACUGACGCAGAUGAAGAGUCACAGGAUGAGGGGAUCAGCUGGGCAGGAGCCAGGACUGUUCGGUUUGUGAAUGGUGGUCAUGCUAAACCACAGAUAAUAAUCAAGUUGACUGAAAGACAGUUGCAUGGAGGAGAGGAACUCCAGACAGCCAUUGUAGACAGCACGUUCAAUGAGCUUGGAGAUGAAAGGCAGAUGGAAGAUGGAGCGGUAGCUGGAGAGGUAAGUGGGGUCAAGGGUGGGGUUUUUAAGAUGGAAGAGACUAAAUCUUACUUGUAUUGUGAGGGAAAAGAGCCUGAGGAGAGUGUUUAGCCUCCUUUUCUGCUCAUGGAAUAUUCAUGAGUAGGUUGUGAUUUCCUUGUAUUUAUCUGUCAUUCUAAAUUUUUGACACAUUUUUUGUAAUGUUCUUAACUCUGUGGAUUAAUCAGCUCAGCUCUGCCACUGUGCAAUUCUCAAUAUUAAUGAUUCCAGGCAUCUCAUUUCAUGGCUGGUCAGAUAGGCCAUCACAUGGCCUAGUUUCUGUUGUUUGACUGCAUGAGCAUUUCUACUGUGGUGUUUUGGUUUUUUGUUUUUUUUUACACCUACACAUUUAAAAUUCAGUUUCCACAGAGACUCGCCCGUGUGAUUUUUGAGGAAUUUCCCUGGCAUGGACAUUUAUGCCAGCAGAACUGUAGCUACUGGUGGGAAGGAAAUACAAAUGGGGCGUGAGCAUGGCCAAAGGAACAUUGGGAUGGAUAUUUGCAGAAGGUAUUUUGCAGCAUUUGCCCAGAUCUGCACUCUCUUUACCUAUAUUAGUCUUUAACACCUGAUUUGGACCUUGAAUUUGCAAAAAAUUAUUNAUUUGCAAAACAUGCUUAAUUCUACAUAUGGAGUAAAAUCCUGACCCCAAGGAAGUCAAUGGUGGUACUUCCAUUGACUGUAAUGGUGCCAAGAUUUCACCUGCUGUGUGUAAACCUCCCCAAAGUCCAUGCAUAAGCAUGUCACUAUGUGUUUUCAGA